rnacentral:rRNA from 1 species
AAUGCUUAACACAUGCAAGUCGACUGGAAUUCUUCUUCGGAAGAUAGUACGGUGGCGGACGGGUGAGUAACGCGUAAAGAAUUUGCCCUUCAGACUGGGACAACUAAUCGAAAGGUUAGCUAAUACCGGAUAUUAUGAGACCUUGGCAUCAAGGACUUAUGAAAGCUAUAUGCGCUGGAGGAGAACUUUGCGUUCCAUUAGCUAGUUGGUAGGGUAAUGGCCUACCAAGGCGACGAUGGAUAGCCGGCCUGAGAGGGUGAACGGCCACAAGGGGACUGAGACACGGCCCUUACUCCUACGGGAGGCAGCAGUGGGGAAUAUUGGACAAUGGACCAAAAGUCUGAUCCAGCAAUUCUGUGUGCACGAUGAAGGUCUUCGGAUUGUAAAGUGCUUUCAGGUGGGAAGAAGAAAGUGACGGUACCACCAGAAGAAGCGACGGCUAAAUACGUGCCAGCAGCCGCGGUAAUACGUAUGUCGCAAGCGUUAUCCGGAAUUAUUGGGCGUAAAGCGAG